rnacentral:tRNA from 1 species
GCUCCUAUAGUUAAACGGUAUAACAGAUCACUCGUAAUGAUCAGUUCGUGGUUCGAUUCCGCGUGGGAGCACCA